UGGGGAAUCUUAGACAAUGGGCGCAAGCCUGAUCUAGCCAUGCCGCGUGGGUGAUGAAGGCCUUAGGGUCGUAAAGCCCUUUCGCCGGGGAAGAUAAUGACGGUACCCGGUAAAGAAACCCCGGCUAACUCCGUGCCAGCAGCCGCGGUAAUACGGAGGGGGUUAGCGUUGUUCGGAAUGACUGGGCGUAAAGCGCGCGUAGGCGGAUCAGGAAGUUGGGGGUGAAAUCCCGGGGCUCAACCCCGGAAUGGCCUUCAAAACUCCUGGUCUUGAGUUCGAGAGAGGUGAGUGGAAUUCCGAGUGUAGAGGUGAAAUUCGUAGAUAUUCGGAGGAACACCAGUGGCGAAGGCGGCUCACUGGCUCGACACUGACGCUGAGGUGCGAAAGCGUGGGGAGCAAACAG
rnacentral:rRNA from 1 species